CAGCAGCCGCGGGAAUACCGAGGGUGCGAGCGUUAAUCGGAUUUACUGGGCGUAAAGCGUGCGUAGGCGGCUAAUUGAGUCGGAUGUGAAAUCCCCGAGCUUAACUUGGGAAUUGCAUUCGAUACUGGUUAGCUAGAGUGUGGGAGAGGAUGGUAGAAUUCCAGGUGUAGCGGUGAAAUGCGUAGAGAUCUGGAGGAAUACCGAUGGCGAAGGCAGCCAUCUGGCCUAACACUGACGCUGAGGUACGAAAGCAUGGGGAGCAAACAGGAUUAGAUACCCCCGUAGUCCCUGUCUCUUAUAC
rnacentral:rRNA from 1 species